rnacentral:rRNA from 1 species
AUUCCAGCUCCAAUAGCGUAUAUUAAAGUUGUUGCGGUUAAAAAGCUCGUAGUUGGAUUUCUGCUGAAACAAACCGGUCCGCCCUCUGGGUGAGCAUCUGGUUUUGUUUUGGCAUAUGCUUAGACUUCGCAGCUGCACUUGACUGUGUGGUGCGAAGGCUGAGCCUUUUACUUUGAGGAAAUCAGAGUGUUUCAAGCAGGCCAUUGCCUUGAAUACACUAGCAUGGAAUAAUAUGAUAUGACUGUGGUUUUAUUUUGUUGGCUUUUAGAAUUAAAGUAAUGGUUAAUAGGGAUAGUUGGGGGCAUUCAUAUUUAACUGUCAGAGGUGAAAUUCUUAGAUUUUCGGAAGAUAAACUUAUGCGAAAGCAUUUACCAAGGAUGUUUUCAUUA